rnacentral:tRNA from 1 species
GUUUAAAUAGCUUAAAUAUAAAGUAUAUUAUUGAAGAUAAUAAGUUGAUUAUGUAAUCUUUAAACA